GUGGGGAAUAUUGGACAAUGGGGGGAACCCUGAUCCAGCCAUGCCGCGUGUGUGAAGAAGGCCUUUUGGUUGUAAAGCACUUUAAGCGAGGAGGAGGCUACCGAGAUUAAUACUCUUGGAUAGUGGACGUUACUCGCAGAAUAAGCACCGGCUAACUCUGUGCCAGCAGCCGCGGUAAUACAGAGGGUGCAAGCGUUAAUCGGAUUUACUGGGCGUAAAGCGCGCGCAGGUGGCCAGUUAAGUCAAAUGUGAAAUCCCCGAGCUUAACUUGGGAAUUGCAUUCGAUACUGGUUGGCUAGAGUAUGGGGGAGGAUGGUAGAAUUCCAGGUGUAGCGGUGAAAUGCGUAGAGAUCUGGAGGAAUACCGAUGGCGAAGGCAGCCAUCUGGCCUAAUACUGACACUGAGGUGCGAAAGCAUGGGGAGCAAACAGGAUUAGAUACCCGUGUAGUCC
rnacentral:rRNA from 1 species